UUCCAACGUGUAUAUGCACGAGUCUAAGAAAAAGAGGUACGGGUCGGGGGUGCGAGGGUGAUGAUACACGGCGGGAACUGCAAUACCAUACGAGUCGUGGGGAAGCUGGAUAACUGCCCAGACUGGUUUAAGAACGCCUUGAGAAGGAGGCUGCGUGUUUGUGGCUAAACAUGCCCACAUCACUGAUGCCCUCUAUGGUUACUGACCUGCGGCAGUGGGCGCACAGCGAAAGCAGCGUGACUGUGAGGAAGAGGACGAUGAGCGUGGAGAGCGGAGAGGCUUCUGGGAGGAGGGACCCCAUCAUGACAAGGCCCAUGCUCCCUGUCUCCAGCCGUGUCACAGCAGCAGACCCACCCUGUGCUUGCAUUAAGUUCUAGUCCUUGGAACCAAUAACACAAUGACACUCAUCUCUGUUAAGUUGCUUGUCAAGACCUACAUCCCAUCUUGUCCACUUCAGUCAGCCAAAACCUCCUGGAUAUCUCUCCACCACAGGAGAAACCUCACCCUAUACUGUACGUUUCUGAUGUGUGGCUUCCUGAUGAUGGAAUAAAUUGCCAAACCUCACCAGAAUCCCUCACCACCUUCAAGAAUCACAUUAAAACUGAUCUGUUCUGCCUAAUACCCCUCCAUGUUCUCUUUGGUAGCCACCUAAAGUUCCCCGAUUGUUCUUUGCCUUUUGUGGCUUUUUUUCCGAUUGAAUGACCUGUGAGUUUCUUGCUAUAUUUGAAAGAUGUUGUGUUAUACUUGUUACUGCACAUUCAUUAGAUGUCAGAGCAGCUCCGCUCUGUGUGUCAUGAUUUGAAGGACUCGGGGCCAGGUGUGUUGGCGAAACAGAAAGAGGUUUUAUUGAAUUAACUGAACAGGGAUAGUAAACAAACAGGAUCUCAGGGGAUCAGAAACAAGGGAAGUAGAACAAGGAAGGGCACAGGCCCUUGUUGAUGAGAGACAUCGUAUGAGAAUGUACAGUACAGUAACUCAACCACUCUUUCUGGCAGUGCUGGGCAGAAAAGCAUUCCUGAAGACACAGCACAUCAGCUGGAAAUGGAUGGGCUACCACAACAGAUCACUCCUUGUCAGCCCCACUAAAUCACACUGACCUGUAUCAUACUGUAUCACAGUUUCCUCCAGAGUACUGUAGUACAAAUAGACAGAAGUCGUCAAACGCCGCCCUCUAGAGGUCAGCGGUUAUAUUACAGAAUUAAACACAAAUAAUAAACCUGGCAAAUAGCUGUUGAGUUGAAUAAGAUGUGAUUGAGCAGAGA